rnacentral:piRNA from 1 species
AAGAACACAUGCCUCACUUCC